GUUGGACUUCAGUCCAGUUCCAGCACCAGAAUUUCCAGCGGACCACAUGAGGCGGACGGACCAGAUCAGGCAGUGACAGGCCUCACCGACUCCUACAACGCUGCCUCCAUUUUCCUCAGAUCACAUUCAUGAAUGAGCGAGUGGCUCGGUUGACAUCACGCACACCGCCUGGACGCCGGCGUGCAAGUGUGCAGGUGCUGAAGGUCACGCUGGCGACGUGGGACUGUUGUUUGUGAACAAGAUUGGACUGGCAGAGAUAAUCUGGGAUUAGAGGCGGCAGUCAAGCCUGGUGCGCUACUCAUUCAUUUCGAACGGCAGACAUGUCCGACAUCUACAGGUCAUCUGCUCCCGGAUGCAAAUCAGUCCCGCGCAGAUCGUACCAGCAAAAAUUUACCAGAUGUGCUGCUGGCAUGUUGAGA